GACGAACGCUGGCGGCGUGCUUAACACAUGCAAGUCGAACGAUGAACCACUUCGGUGGGGAUUAGUGGCGAACGGGUGAGUAACACGUGGGCAAUCUGCCCUUCACUCUGGGACAAGCCCUGGAAACGGGGUCUAAUACCGGAUAACACUGCCAUGGGCAUCUGUGGUGGUUAAAAGCUCCGGCGGUGAAGGAUGAGCCCGCGGCCUAUCAGCUUGUUGGUGAGGUAAGGCUCACCAAGGCGACGACGGGUAGCCGGCCUGAGAGGGCGACCGGCCACACUGGGACUGAGACACGGCCCAGACUCCUACGGGAGGCAGCAGUGGGGAAUAUUGCACAAUGGGCGAAAGCCUGACGCAGCGACGCCGCGUGAGGGAUGACGGCCU
rnacentral:rRNA from 1 species